CCCAAUGUGUGAUUUGGCCUAUAGUUUCAGUAUAAUUAAAUAUAAUCAUUAGAUUGUUUUAGAGCAUAUCAGAACUCAAAUCAAAAUAUAACUCCCCAAAUCAAGGCCAUCAAUGCACUGUUGACACAUCAUUAAUACGCUGCCUAGAAGCUUGUCUCUCUCACGACCGUCCAGCUCCGGAAUCAAGGCACAAUCGACUCUGUUCCAGCGACAUUUUCGUUGCCGAAAUCAUUGCCCCCAUAGCAGUCCUAGCCUUGGAUCGUGCCACCAUCGGCGCUUCAGCAUUCAUCACGCCAGCGGCCCUUGAAUCACCGAGAUCCUCGCGGUCACAUGCAGGAAAAGGAAAGAAAUCAAAGCAAAAUCGCAGCAAAUAGAUUAGAACAGGAUAUGGAAAGAAACCGUGUGAUUUCUUUCCUAAAGUACGUCAGUUUAAGGCUAUAAAGCCUUUCUGAGAAUCUGUAAAGGACUUACUAUAGCACCCCAAACCCGGCCCAGACGUUAUGACCGG
rnacentral:lncRNA from 1 species